AUUGAACGCUGGCGGCAGGCCUAACACAUGCAAGUCGAACGAGUGGCGGACGGGUGAGUAAUGUCUGGGAAACUGCCUGAUGGAGGGGGAUAACAACUGGAAACGGUAGCUAAUACCGCAUACCAUCAGAUGUGCCCAGAUGGGAUACGCUUGUUGGUGGGGUAACGGCUCACAAAGGCGACGAUACCUAGCUAGUCUGAGAGGAUUACCAGACACACCGGAACUGAGACACGUUCCAGACUCCUACGGGAGGCAGCAGUGGAGAAUAUUGCACAAUGGGCGAAAGCCUGAUGCAGCCAUGCCGCGGGGAUGAAGAAGGCCUUCGGGUUGUAAAGUACUUUCAGCGGGGAGGCGUUACCCGCAGAAGAAGCACCGGCUAACACCGUGCCAGCCGCCGCGGUAAGUC
rnacentral:rRNA from 1 species